CAGUCGCCGCGGUAAUACGAAGGGGGCUAGCGUUACUCGGAAUCACUGGGCGUAAAGGGUGCGUAGGCGGGUCUUUAAGUCAGAGGUGUAAUCCUGGAGCUCAACUCCAGAACUGCCUUUGAUACUGAGGAUCUUGAGUUCGGGAGAGGUGAGUGGAACUGCGAGUGUAGAGGUGAAAUUCGUAGAUAUUCGCAAGAACACCAGUGGCGAAGGCGGCUCACUGGCCCGAUACUGACGCUGAGGCACGAAAGCGUGGGGAGCAAACAGGAUUAGAUACCCCAGUAGUCCCUGUCUCUUAUAC
rnacentral:rRNA from 1 species